CGGCGUGCUUAACACAUGCAAGUCGAACGAUGAACCAAUUCGGUGGGGAUUAGUGGCGAACGGGUGAGUAACACGUGGGCAAUCUGCCCUGCACUCUGGGACAAGCCCUGGAAACGGGGUCUAAAACCGGAUACUGAUCUACUUGGGCAUCCAAGUGGUUCGAAAGCUCCGGCGGUGCAGGAUGAGCCCGCGGCCUAUCAGCUUGGUGGUGAGGUAACGGCUCACCAAGGCGACGACGGGUAGCCGGCCUGAGAGGGCGACCGGCCACACUGGGACUGAGACACGGCCCAGACUCCUACGGGAGGCAGCAGUGGGGAAUAUUGCACAAUGGGCGAAAGCCUGAUGCAGCGACGCCGCGUGAGGGAUGACGGCCUUCGGGUUGUAAACCUCUUUCAGCAGGGAAGAAGCGAAAGUGACGGUACCUGCAGAAGAAGCGCCGGCUAACUACGUGCCAGCAGCCGCGGUAAUACGUAGGGCGCAAGCGUUGUCCGGAAUUAUUGGGCGUAAAGAGCUCGUAGGCGGCUUGUCACGUCGGUUGUGAAAGCCCGGGGCUUAACCCCGGGUCUGCAGUCGAUACGGGCAGGUUAGAGGUCGGUAGGGGAGAUCGGAAUUCCUGG
rnacentral:rRNA from 1 species